ensembl:lncRNA
ACUUUUACUCCAUAGUGUAUUUCCGUUGAGAGGGAAAUAUUAUACUUUCCUCAAUAUAUAGUCGGUCAUGUCCGUUUCUACACAGGUUUCCCACGGCGACAUACUGUAAUAAUAAUAGUAUGUGAAUGGAAACACGUGUGUGUGUAGGGGACCGUGUGAGGAUUCUCAUCCACCAGUGAUCCCAAGGAACUGUUGAGGGAAGAAGUCGACCUUCGGCCCCGACACCCCCGUAACCAGUGAUGUCCCUCAAGGCCUAACAAACACUCCCACUCAGCCCCUCGUCCUCAGCCUCUGCAUGUACACACACACACACAACAUCAGACAGCUGUUCACUUUCCCCUUUGACCUCCACGCCGCCGCAGGAGGAAGUGGCGCCGGUGACCCGGCGUCACAGGACGGCCCGCGGUGACGAUCGGGCAGACGGGUCAGCGGAGGAGUAAAUAAAAAACACAGUUUUGUGGCGCAGGUGUUCUGAUUGCGUCGACGUGUGGAAACAUCGGCUGCGAGUGUUUACGCGUCGUGCGUCCGUGUGUCUGGUGUGUGUGUGUGUUUGUGUGCACGCGUGUGCGUGUGAUUAUUCCCGGGCGACAGCGUGAGAAGCGCUCCUCCCGAGGGAAGCCUUUGACUGACCCGCAACAGGAAGUGGGGGCCGACCCCCUUUCCUACGGAACACACGCGCGUUGGUACUUGCACCCUUUUAGUCACAGCGCUUCCCCCAUAAACUCACGUCUGCAACCUUCACUGAGGGAGUAAAUCCAGAGAGAAGUGGGGUCGUUUUCUCAUAGACGUCCAUGGGACCAGAGCAGUCGCCCCCUGCUGGUCACUGCACAGAAUGCAGCUUUAACACAGCAGGAGACGCAAAUUACAAUGGCUUCAUCCUCUGGGAACCAUGAGCCACACACACACACGCACACGCACACACACACACACACACACACACACACAGAUGAGCUAUUAGCCUGUGCUGCCAUCUUUCGGGGGGAGUUGCUGACACUGAUUUCAAACUGUCGCUGACUUGCUGCGGCAGCAAAAAGCAAUAAAUCAAACGCUAAUAAACUGAGGAUUAGCAGUAAGAUCUCCAUCUUUCAUUUCCUCCAUCCGUCCACGGAGGUGACGGAGGGGCUUCAUCGGAUGAGAUAACCGGCACAGGGAAACGUUUGAUGCACAUUUGAAUACUUUUUUAUUACUGUAUUGUUCCGUUAUUUGACGGCGGCGAGCAGCUAAAGGAAAUAAGCGAUGUGACGCCGGUCGGAUUCCGGGAGAUUAAAGGAAAUUAGUUCAAUUUUUAAUCAUUGUCACAAACUUAUGUGACGGAGGCCGGAUGGGAGACGAGGGAGGACACACAAAAGCUGCAUGAGUAAUAACCCCCAGAGGAACAAAUGUCUGGUGACCCGCCGCUUAUUGCUGGAGGAUGUUCCCACCUUUUUAUGACGUACAUUCAUGGUAUUAAAAAUAUGUGUCCCAAAACAUUCAGUUCACCAAAAAUACCAGUUUCACUGUCUGAGUGUGUCCAAGAAUUAGAAUUUAUUUAUACUUUUAUUUUGUUUUUGCUGCAGUAAAAACCUUUACUACUAACUAUUUAGUAAAGAAUAAAUCGCGUUGGAACUUUUAAAUAUAUUGUUCAAUGUCUCUCUUUAAUUCUACGGCAACGGUUAAUUUAAUAUCUAAUAAUUAAAUCUUUAAUGAUGUUGAGUAAAAACUACUUACACAGAAAGAAAUGACAACUUUGAGCAGCAGAGGGCGGCCUUGCCUUAACUUUAGUGAAAAUAAAGCAGCGUAUUCUGGUUUGAAGAAAAGGAAUCAUUGGGGCAACAUUGAUUUUAAUGUUCUGUGAAUUAUAAUUUCAGGUCGAUGCUUCUUCUGUCGCAGGCUGGACGACCCGUCCCACUGGCCGCGCACAGCUUUAACUUUAAAACAACCACAUGGGUCAAAUAAUGAUUCCAAAUGUACUCACUAACAUUCUGGCACAUGAUCCAAACACACUGCUACAACAUUUAAAUGCACAACACAAAUAAUAACUGUUACAAUGUGGAUUACUGACUGUUUUCAUGCUGUUCUGUAAGAGAAGCUUCCUCUUGACUCACGUCCUCGCUGCGUUUGACCUCACGGGUCACAGAUGAGAGCGGCGUCCACUUAUUUACACAUCCUUUCUGUGGGAAACAUUCGUGAGCGGGCUUCUCCUUCAGAAGAAAGGAGCCAGAAAGGACGUUUUGUGUCGGCGUUCACCCAGGAGGGAUUAGAGGUCAGAGGUCUCGAAAUGAGCUCAUAGAGAAGGAGAGCUGAGAGGAGAACUCGUCAACAGAGACUCACAUCGUAACAGUUGUUAGUGACUCACAUGUAAGGUUGUUUGUGUUGAAAAAGAAACAACAAGGCGCCACUGAGCGACAUUUACUUCCAUUAAAACAACAGCAGCACCACCACCGUCGCACCGUCCUCGUCUAGUGAAGCUCAGCUCGGGACGGAGGGAGGAAGAAACACACCUGUCGGCCAUCUUGUUGGACACCAACAGUCACAUAUAUAGACCACCGACCGCGGUACACACACACACACACACACACGCGUGUGCGGUCUUGCUGUAAUCAGAGUCCAGCGUGUUUCUCUCAGCGGUGUAAUUCAUCAAAAUGACGGCUGCCAGUGAGUCUCAGUCAGCAGCAAUCAAUCAUCAAUCUACCUGCUCCUUGUUUCCCAUCAACACUCACACACACACUCACACAGAGCCCGUGUGUAGAGCAAGGUAUCCAUCCCUCCAUAUCUCCAUCCCUCCAUCCCUCCAUCCCUCCAUAUCUCCAUAUAUCAUCUCUCCACAUCUCCAUCCCUCCAUAUCUCCAUAUCUCCAUCCCUCCAUAUAUCCAUCCCUCCAUAUCUCCAUAUCUCCAUCCCUCCAUAUCUCCAUAUCUCCAUAUCUCUAUCCCUCCAUCCUUUCAUAUCUCCAUAUCUCCAUCCCUCCAUCCCUACAUAUCUCCAUCCUUCCAUCCCUCCAUAUCUCCAUCCCUCCCUCCCUCCAUAUCUCCAUCUCUCCAGCUCUCCAUCCCUCCAUCCCUCCAUAUCUCCAUCCUUCCAUAUCUCCAUCCCUCCAUAUCUCCAUCCCUCCAUAUCUCCAUCUCUCCAGCUCUCCAUCCCUCCAUCCCUCCAUCCCUCCAUCCCUUCAUAUCUCCAUCCCUCCAGCCCUUCUGCGAGCUGCUGAUUUGGUUUUUCUUCACACUCUCGAGUCUUUAUCUGGAUACGGAGGAGUUUGACACUUGUUCAUGAAGAGCAGUUGAAGGUUUCCUUGCAGCGGGUUCAUUGCCCCCCGUUGUUCUUCCUCUCCAAAGGCCUCGGCGUGGAGACGUGAGAGAACGAGAGGCGGUGCGUUUUGUGCGCAAGAAAAAUGCUUCAUUAAACACAAUGGGGCUUUUUCUUU